GUCUACAGCCAUGCCACCCUGAACACGCCCGAUCUCGUCUGAUCUCGGAAGCUAAGCAGGAUCGGGCCUGCUUAGUACUUGGAUGAGAGACCACCUAGGAAGACCAGGUGCUGUAUGUG
rnacentral:rRNA from 1 species